CCUACGGGGGGCUGCAGUGAGGAAUAUUGGUCAAUGGGCGCGAGCCUGAACCAGCCAAGUCGCGUGAGGGAAGAAGGUCCUAUGGAUUGUAAACUUCUUUUGUCGGGGAGCAAAAGACGCCACGCGUCGCGUUCCGAGAGUACCCGAAGAAAAAGCAUCGGCUAACUCCGUGCCAGCAGCCGCGGUAAUACGGAGGAUCCGAGCGUUAUCCGGAUUCAUUGGGUUUAAAGGGUGCGUAGGUUGUUUUAUAAGGUAGCGGUGAAAUACCGAUGCUCAACAUCGGGGCGGCCGUUAAUACUGGAGGACUAGAGAUCGGAAGAAGCAGGCGGAAUGUGUAGUGUAGCGGUGAAAUGCAUAGAUAUUACGCAGAACACCGAUUGCGAAGGCAGCUUGCUAGGCCGGAUCUGACACUGAGGCACGAAAGCGUGGGGAUCGAACAGGAUUAGAUACCCUAGUAGUC
rnacentral:rRNA from 1 species